rnacentral:rRNA from 1 species
AUUGAACGCUGGCGGCAUGCCUUACACAUGCAAGUCGAACGGCAGCACGGGAGCAAUCCUGGUGGCGAGUGGCGAACGGGUGAGUAAUAUAUCGGAACGUGCCCAGUCGUGGGGGAUAACGCAGCGAAAGCUGUGCUAAUACCGCAUACGAUCUACGGAUGAAAGCGGGGGAUCGCAAGACCUCGCGCGAUUGGAGCGGCCGAUAUCAGAUUAGCUGGUUGGUGGGGUAAAAGCCCACCAAGGCGACGAUCUGUAGCUGGUCUGGGAGGACGACCAGCCACACUGGAACUGAGACACGGUCCAGACUCCUACGGGAGGCAGCAGUGGGGAAUUUUGGACAAUGGGGGCAAGCCUGAUCCAGCAAUGCCGCGUGCAGGAUGAAGGCCUUCGGGUUGUAAACUGCUUUUGUACGGAACGAAACGGCUCUUUCUAAUAAAGAGGGCUAAUGACGGUACCGUAAGAAUAAGCACCGGCUAACUACGUGCCAGCCGCCGCGGUAAAAC